GGCCACCUACGGCGGCUGAUGAGCUACUGGCAUUGCCACCACCGCUGCCAUCAUAUCCAGCGGCCUUCUUACCGCCCGGUCCAGCCUUCCCAACUCCAGGUCUAGCCGCGACCUUGGGAUCUGCUGUUGCCGCUCCCGUUGGUGAGGAUAGCGAGCCCUCCGCAUUCGCGGCUUCGCUUUCUUCUUCGGCCUCCGCCGGUGGGGCGGACGCGACUGCCGCUGCAGCGGCAGCCGCCGCCGCCGACGCUGCGGCAGCGGCGGCUGCAACUUCAACUUCCAUCUGCUCUGCUCGCUGCGCCGCGGCCUCUGCCGCUGCCCGGGCAGCUGCAGCAUCGUCCUGUAGCGCCAUCACGAGAUCCUGGAGCUGCUUCAGCUUCUCCCGGUCCUCCGCUGCUGCGGCGGCGAGGGCGGCCACAUCUUCACUGCCGCCCGCACCCAGGCCGCCCCGGCCCGGGCGGGCUGCAUUCUUCAGGAUCUGUCCCAGGGCCGCUUGGAUGGCGUUGAUGUCGCCGCGUAUAGCCGCCAGAAGCGCGUCACGAGCAUCCUUGGCCGCAGCGGCCUUCUGCUGCUCGAUAGGAGAGCCGCUGCCCGUGGGACCAUUAUUGGCGCCUGCCAUGCCGUUGGCGCCGGCAGCACCGGCCACACCUCUCUCACCCACAGCGCCUGUCGCACCCACCGCACCUUUCGCACCCGUAGCGCCUGUCGCACCCACCACACCUGCCGCACCCACGGCACCUGCAGCACCCACAGAACCUGCUGCGCCGACUGCACCCGCUGCGCCAUCCUUUCCGGGGCCCUGCGGUAUGAAAAAUAGGAAAUUCGUAUGACGGGCCGGACAGUUAACACCAUGGGAACAGGGAAACGAACGAGGGAACCUAGAUCUUGAGUCGAAACUUGACCGGCUGGAUGUGCACAAUCCAUAUCGGUGGUGUAGGUAUGGGUAGCGUGUUUCCCCCAAGAGCAGCAUGCACAGCCAUUUUGUAAAAUAUCGAUCUUGCCACAACAGAAAAAGCGCGUUCCACCAACAGCGUCCUAAGUAGUGGCGGCAAGGGCCGAAAUAAAGGCGUCAGCAAACAUUCAUGGAUUGCCGACGCCCACCGCAGACCCCUCCACCUGCCUUCAUCAUACCUGUUCUGACAGCUUGGCCACAUUGGCCAGCAGCUGCUUCAGCUGCUCCUCCAUCGCCUUGACCUGGUCGCCCAGCUGCCGGUUGCGGGCGGUAAUGGCGCCUGUCGCCGCCGCUAGUUCCGCAGCCGCGGCUGCCACCGACUUGGCCGCCUGUGACGUCGCCGCUCCAGUCUUGCCACUGCCCGCCUUGUUUGCUGCCACUGACGUGGCCCCCACCUCGGCCGGGCGGUUCUGCAGCUCCUGGAUGCGCCUAUCCAGCUCUGCCAGGGCUGCGGGAAGUGACGCGGCCAUGCGGGACAAGUCAUCCGAGGCGGAUGGGCUGUUAUUGGUAAUCGGUGAGCUGUUGCUGCUGGCCGUGGCAGGAGGCCCCGUUUCCACGACUGCCGGCGAGGACGCGGGCAGCACACCCGCACCGUCCACCGUGUUAUUUUCUGAUGUCGCUGACGCUGGCGCCGUUUUUACAGCCGCGGCGGCUGCCGCCGCAGCCGCAGCCGCAGCAGCGGCUGCAGCCGCCACCUCGAGCUCCAUCUCCCCCGCUCGCUGAGCAGCCGCGUCCGCCGCUGCGCGCACCGCCGCCGCGCCCUCGUCCGCUGCCUUCAUGGCCGCUUCCAGGGCCGCCACGCGACGCUCCAACGCAGCGAGGCGAUCAUAAUCCACCACGCCCUUCUCACCAG
rnacentral:lncRNA from 1 species